CCUCUCUCCCGGUGCUCGCCCUCAUCUACGGUUCUAUUUGUUUCUAAGUUGGGAGCCUCUCCGGGCGGUGCAUUUUUAUCCUAGAGCGUCCCUUUUGGUUUGCAUUUGGGGAAAUGUCUUCUCUCACCGUUCCUCACCUCCCCCAGACUUCCCUUGGACUCCCCUCUCUCCUGCUCUUCCCCACGGCGCCCCUCUCCGUUCGCGCUUCCUCCCCUCUGCUGCACGGGGGAGAGAUGGAAGAAGUGGGG
rnacentral:lncRNA from 1 species